ACCACGUCCUGCGAGGGGCGGCGUCCGCCGGGGGGGACCGAGCCCGGCGGCCGACAGCAAACCUAACCCGUGAAGGAGCAUACGCGCUUCAACCGGCACAGGAGAAAUCAUCACCGUUUCAAGUGAAUCAAAUGGAACUUAAGGAAUUCUUUUGCAACUGUAUGGAAACUUUUCUUGGAGCUUGAGACUCAGCACCACUUCACUCCCAGCCCGUCAUCUCUCUCCAUUACAUACUAACAGCUGGGUCUCUCCUGCGUUGUUUACUGAUGUUCCUACCCUGUCUUCCAAGAAGAUACUGAAACUGCUGCUUCUGAAAUGCUGCUGGUGUUCUCACAGCCUCAUACUCGGUAUGAGCGGAGAAUCCCACUGUUCCCAGAAGUUUCUUCCCUAGUGUAGGACUUAAAUCCCUGAAAGUCCUCAACUCAUCUGGCUGAUUCUGGAGCCCUUACAUCCCCAGCUGAAAAUGACAGGUAAUACAGAAGGCACAGUAAUGUUUCGAGGGCCAAGGUACAAACAGAUGUCUGCACAGCAUGAGGGACAAGGUAGAUGGAGAGAACUGAGGAGUUAGACAUCGGAGUGGGGACCUAAAAUACUCAGAUGCUUGUCAUAUAGCGGUCACUGAAUAAGCCACCUUAUCACCGUAUCAGGGCUCCUUCAGGCACCACCAAUCUCCCUUGUCACUGGAGGACGCAGGAAGAAUCACUUUUCUUCCACAGGAAUGUUGGAAGGAUUUUUUGCAUAGCACAUUGCUUUGGAUGAAAAGAAUAUAUUCAACCUCCUAGCUAUCGACAUAAAAAAAAAAAAAAAAGCCACUUGCCUCUGCCCAGUCAAGGAAGUUAACAAGACAUUGGAAAUUUUGUUACCUUGAUUUAAACAUCACCAGACCAAUACCAGAAUAUUCUCAGUAUCACUACUAUAAUUUAUUGCAUCAGUAUCAAUACUAGAAUUCACUGCAUCUGCAGAUUUAGUAUAUAUUCUGGUAUGUCCAAUUCUAUAAUUAUUUUUGUGUUACCGUUAAAAUAGUAUUUUCUUAAGAGUCCAAUUUAAAGAAUAUGAGAAGACAUUUUCAAGUAAACGAAAGAUGUCUUUUGGUCCUCUUUAGAAGCAAAUUUCCAUCUCUCUAGGUCCAAACAGGCUGUCUGGAAGUUCUGAAACAUUUUGGUAAGAGGGAUGUUUCUCUGCUUCCAUUUUUUCUGAUGGGACAGGAAAUGAGCUAUCAUUCAAGCUUGGCUACCAGUGGAGAAGAAAAACAAGCUGACAUGUUCAAAUUAGGCUAGAAGGCUUGCAUCCUGCAACUCUAAGCAUUAGAAAUCUUGCAAAUUCAAGACAGGGAGAUGAAGUACUUCUCAGUAUUCCAGUUCAUGUGAGGUUCAGCUACUCUUGGUUUUGCCUCUUUUAGUUACCCCUACUGAUACCCACUUUUCUCUGCUGCUUUUGCCUGCUGCAAUUACUAAGUAGACUUGCACAACAAUAAAAAGGAAAGAUGCAAAUACUAGGACAUAAGAGAAGCUGAACUGCAGUCCCUGUAAAUCAACCUCCCUUUUUCCAAAUUACAUUAGCUAAUGGUGGCAGCACCUUCAGCUACAUUCACCUUCAAAAGUUGCUCUCUCUUAAGUAAUUCCAAGAAAAAUGGGGGGGAGGCUGAGAAAGAGAAAGGCAAGCUACACAAGGAGAAUUGUAAUAGCUUCCUGUCAGUUACUGCUGUCUGCAUUAGAAUCUCUUUUUUUGGCAUUCAGCCUGGGAGUGGAGCAUCAGCCUAAGAAAUUCCUGAGCAGACAGAAUAACGUACGUGAUGGUGUCUGCACACACCAUGCAAAGAUGUCUGAAGCAAGAUACAAACAUUGGUUUUAAUGGAGAAUGUGGAACAACAGAAGAGGUGUGUUACUCAAUAGUCGAGUCUCUCUACAGCCUGUAUUUCGUAUUGCUGAUAACACAGAGACACUGAUGGAUGGGACGGAAGUUCUGACUUCACAGGGACAAUCAGAAACCCAAUUCCCUCAAUACACUGACAAGUGAACCCCACAGAUGUUUCAUUGUGAAUCCUGAAUGUACAACUAUAAAGAACAUGUAAAAUUCUAACUGCAUUUACAACUACUUUACUUGGACCCACAUAGUUAAAGCUGAACCUAGCCCACGUUUCAGCUUGUCAAAACCAAAAUGAACCAGAGAGAUUAAGCUAUUAAUAUUAGAUUUGAAAAGUAUCUAUAUCACAACUGGAAUAAAGGCCAGUUAUGAUGCUACAGUAAAUGCUAUGCCACAAUUAAAUACAAUGCUAACAAUGCUGUAAUAAAAUACACCCUUAAAAU